GCAUGGGUUUGGAUUGAUGGCAGGUACGAUCCCAUGGGCCUCUCACAGUGUCCCAUGCCACAGCAAACUGGAACCCCAAACCAGUGCCUGGCUUUACCCCAUGGGCUUCAGUCACUGAACCGUUUGCACAGUG